rnacentral:rRNA from 1 species
AUUGAACGCUGGCGGCGGGCCUAACACAUGCAAGUCGAGCGGAGCGACGGGCGGGUGGGUGAGGCCUAGGAGUCUAACUGGUAGUGAGGGCUAACGUCCGGUAACGGGCGCUGAUACCGCAUACUAUCGGAUGAGCCUCGGUCGGAUUAGCUAGUUGGUGAGGUAAGGGCCUACCAAGGCGACGAUCCGUAGCUGGGCUGAGAGAAUGAUCAGUCACACUGGAACUGAGACACGGUCCAGACUCCUACGGGAGGCAGCAGUGGGGAAUCUUGCGCAAUGGGCGAAAGCCUGAUCGAGCCAUGCCGCGUGUGUGAAGAAGGUCUUCGGAUCGUAAAGCACUUUAAGUUGGGAGGCGUUACCUACAGAGUAAGCACCGGCUAACUUCGUGCCAGCAGCCGCGGUAAUAC